CGGCGUGCUUACACAUGCAAGUCGAACGAUGAUGCCUAGCUUGCUAGGUGGAUUAGUGGCGAACGGGUGAGUAACACGUGAGUAACCUGCCCCUGACUCUGGGAUAAGCCUGAGAAAUUGGGUCUAAUACUGGAUAUGAGCAUCUAUCGCAUGGUGGGUGUUGGAAAGAUUUUUUGGUUAGGGAUGGACUCGCGGCCUAUCAGCUUGUUGGUGAGGUAGUGGCUCACCAAGGCGACGACGGGUAGCCGGCCUGAGAGGGUGACCGGCCACACUGGGACUGAGACACGGCCCAGACUCCUACGGGAGGCAGCAGUGGGGAAUAUUGCACAAUGGGCGAAAGCCUGAUGCAGCGACGCCGCGUGAGGGAUGACGGCCUUCGGGUUGUAAACCUCUUUCAGUAGGGAAGAAGCGAAAGUGACGGUACCUGCAGAAGAAGCGCCGGCUAACUACGUGCCAGCAGCCGCGGUAAUACGUAGGGCGCAAGCGUUAUCCGGAAUUAUUGGGCGUAAAGAGCUCGUAGGCGGUUUGUCGCGUCUGCCGUGAAAGUCCGGGGCUUAACUCCGGAUCUGCGGUGGGUACGGGCAGGCUAGAGUGCAGUAGGGGAGACUGGAAUUCCUGGUGUAGCGGUGAAAUGCGCAGAUAUCAGGAGGAACACCGAUGGCGAAGGCAGGUCUCUGGGCUGUAACUGACGCUGAGGAGCGAAAGCAUGGGUAGCGAACAGGAUUAGAUACCCUGGUAGUCCAUGCCGUAAACGUUGGGCACUAGGUGUGGGGGACAUUCCACGUUUUCCGCGCCGUAGCUAACGCAUUAAGUGCCCCGCC
rnacentral:rRNA from 1 species